rnacentral:rRNA from 1 species
GAUGAACGCUGGCGGCGUGCCUAAUACAUGCAAGUCGAGCGAACGGACGAGAAGCUUGCUUCUCUGAUGUUAGCGGCGGACGGGUGAGUAACACGUGGAUAACCUACCUAUAAGACUGGGAUAACUUCGGGAAACCGGAGCUAAUACCGGAUAAUAUUUUGAACCGCAUGGUUCAAAAGUGAAAGACGGUCUUGCUGUCACUUAUAGAUGGAUCCGCGCUGCAUUAGCUAGUUGGUAAGGUAACGGCUUACCAAGGCAACGAUGCAUAGCCGACCUGAGAGGGUGAUCGGCCACACUGGAACUGGGACACGGUCCAGACUCCUACGGGAGGCAGCAGUAGGGAAUCUUCCGCAAUGGGCGAAAGCCUGACGGAGCAACGCCGCGUGAGUGAUGAAGGUCUUCGGAUCGUAAGACUCUGUUAUUAGGGAAGAACAUAUGUGUAAGUAACUGUGCACAUCUUGACGGUACCUAAUCAGAAAGCCACGGCUAACUACGUG